AUUGAACGCUGGCGGCAGGCCUAACACAUGCAAGUCGAGCGGAUGAAGGGAGCUUGCUCCUGGAUUCAGCGGCGGACGGGUGAGUAAUGCCUAGGAAUCUGCCUGGUAGUGGGGGAUAACGUCCGGAAACGGGCGCUAAUAGCGCAUACGUCCUGAGGGAGAAAGUGGGGGAUCUUCGGACCUCACGCUAUCAGAUGAGCCUAGGUCGGAUUAGCUAGUUGGUGGGGUAAAGGCCUACCAAGGCGACGAUCCGUAACUGGUCUGAGAGGAUGAUCAGUCACACUGGAACUGAGACACGGUCCAGACUCCUACGGGAGGCAGCAGUGGGGAAUAUUGGACAAUGGGCGAAAGCCUGAUCCAGCCAUGCCGCGUGUGUGAAGAAGGUCUUCGGAUUGUAAAGCACUUUAAGUUGGGAGGAAGGGCAGUAAGUUAAUACCUUGCUGUUUUGACGUUGCCAACAGAAUAAGCACCGGCUAACUUCGUG
rnacentral:rRNA from 1 species